CGGCGAAUAUUCCCCGAUAAUCACCUCGCCUUCGGCGAAUAAUUGUUAAAUGUCAUAUACCUGUGCAUAUACUAAUCACGCAAUAUUGAGCGUCGGCCACGCAGGCUACCCUCGUUACCACCAGCCAAUCUCAUACAAUACCAUACAAUCUCGUACCCAGAGCCAAAGAAUCUAUUGGUACGAGAUUGGUCGGCAUCAUUCUCGUACCCAGAGCCCUUCUUACGCGCGGUGCGACGAGGGGCUCUGGCCAAAUCCAUAUUCCGAACUGGCAUCUGAUUGGCUAGUUCUAACACCGGACAUUGUUUUCGUACCAUGUUUUUAUGGUAUCCGGUUAUGGAUUUGGCCAGAGCCCCGCGUCGCACCGCGCGUAAGAAGGGCUCUGGGUACGAGAAUGGGUCGGCAUAUAGCGUCAACUUCGUAUCUAGUCUCACACUCCGUUGCCACGGUCACCUGCUGACCAAUUCGUAGUUUCGACUGCGCAUAUGCAUAAAAACGUUUUCCAAUGAAUGUCCAAUCAUUAUUACACUGGCCUGUAGGCCAAGUGUCUUAAAUCCCUCUUUUUCUGUCUUUUCCUGUUUUUUUCGUAGUCGAGAAAUCGAGUUUGCGUUAGCUCAUCGCAGGCUCAGGGUGCAACCACUAAGCCAAAAUGCCAUCGAUCCUCUCGGUUCCAUGAUUUACAUAUUAUAGUAAUAAGUCCGUAUUUAUGUACGUAAUAGCCGACUCAUGCCAUGCUUGUGGUGCAUUUUUCGUUUAUUAGCCCAUACACUUGUACGCACGCGCACAAUUCCGAACUCCAAUGGCGGCUUUUCACAGAGUGAUCAAACUAUAUUUUACACAGUUUCGUUGAAUUUUCAAAGAAUUGUGCCAGUUUCCUAUGGAUUUUACGUUGUGUCGUACUCUGGACUUUCUUGCGUGUUGAAUUAAUGUGUUUUUCUUUGUGUAACGACUCGAAAAUUUAGACCCAGCGAAUUUAUACAAUAUAUAGAAG